rnacentral:RNase_P_RNA from 1 species
UGAGUCGAUCGGGUGACCGCGGUGUCGUCCGUAUUGAAAAAUGCGCGGCAUCGAGGAAAGUCGGGACUCCAUAGGGCAGAGUGCUGACGCGAGUCAGGACGCGGCGACGUGUCGGAUUAGGGCAACAGAAAACAAACCGCCGAUGGCUCGCAAGGGCACAGGCAAGGGUGCAACGGUGCGGUAAGAGCGCACCAGCGUCCGGGGUGACCCGGGCGGCUUGGUAACCCCCACUCGGAGCAAGGUCAAAUCGAGGCAGCCGGCCCGGCUACGCCUCAGGUAGGCCGCAUAGAUGGAUGGUCACCCAUCCGGAUCUCCG